GGAGGGGACAGCUCAGUGGUAGAGCGCGUGCUUAGCAUGCACGAGGUCCUGGGUUCAAUCCCCAGUACUGCCA
rnacentral:tRNA from 1 species